CAAUGGAAAAACAUGUCGCACAACUCCAAAUACUACGUAAAAAAGAUUCCUAAGAAACAAACUGGCACAACGAAAACGGCACCAGGUCAGACAUCUUGGUUCGGAUUCUAGUUUCAGGAUUGGAAACGAAAUCCUCAGCUGGAUCUGUAUCAGGAAUUCCAAGCGGAUCUGGUUCUUAGGCAGAGUUUUCCUGCGAUGAACUACAUGGUUGGAUUAGGCCGCAUCAUUCCAAGUAGUACUGCCAGUGUAGAGAGGAUCUUCAGUACCAUGAACUCCCUGUGCACAUCCUCACGCAGCAGAAUGAGUCAGUCGCUGUUGGACUCCCUCAUGAGAAUCUGCACCC